rnacentral:pre_miRNA from 1 species
GGGAGCACGGGAUCCUGGGCUGUGUCCCCCAGCGCCCUGGGAUCUGGGGCCUGUGCUGCUGGAAUCGUGCUCCCAGGGCCGUGGCUCUU